GCAGUUUCAUUGUGAAAAGGAGAACCGAGCUCCUUCCUAGCAAAUGGUGUGGUUAUAGACAGCUGAGGUAGGGAGAAAUAUUGUAGGCAGUCAGACAGGGCGGGGUGCUCGAAGGAGCCGCGCAGAACAUGGGGUACAUUGCCACUGUGGAGGAGGCACCUCCGAUGAGGGCCAGGUCUCAAGACCAAAGAAAUGACAAUAUGGUGUAGUAAGACAGGAUCUGAAGAACCUGUUGCCACUUCUCUGCUAUAUGACUUAGGGGCCUUUGGUGUCUACUGUCUGCAUUUCUAGCCAGAGUCCAUGUGCUGUACCACUGCUGGUGGGGCAUCAUGUCCUGAAGCCCAUGAAGUAUUUGCUCUGCACAUGCAACAGCUUUUAUGGAGUUGGGCUGGACUAGAGUCUGCUUGACCACUCUCUUGGUUCUGGUUUUGCAAGGUGGCUCCCUGAGAAGUCUUUCUUGCUCAACCUGGUCCC